GAUGAACGCUGGCGGCGUGCUUAAUACAUGCAAGUCGAACGGAAAGGCCCGGCUCUUGCUGGGUGCUCGAUUGGCGAACGGGUGAGUAACACAUGAGUAACACCCCCCUGAAUUAGGGGUAACUCCUGGAAAAUCGGGCGAAUACCGGGUAGGAGCUUCUGCUGCAUGGUGGGGGUUGGUAAGAUACGGCGGUGGGGGAUGGUCUCGCGGGUUACCAGCUUGUUGGUGAGGUAGUGGCGUACGAAGUCUUUGAAGGGUAGCCGGCAUGGGAGGGUGACCGGCGACAUUGGGACUGCGAUACGGCCCAGAAUGCUACGGGACGCAGCAGUGGAGAAUAUUGCAGAAUGGCGGGGAGCCUGAUGUAGCAACGCCGCGUGCGGGAUAAUGGCUUUCGAGUUGUAAACAGAUUUGGAAUGUACCGUACCGUGCGUGACGGUAAUUGGUCAGAAAGCCACGGCUAACUACGUG
rnacentral:rRNA from 1 species